rnacentral:rRNA from 2 species
UAUAAAAGGUGGCUUUUAGCUACCACUUACAGAUGGACCCGCGGCGCAUUAGCUAGUUGGUGAGGUAACGGCUCACCAAGGCAACGAUGCGUAGCCGACCUGAGAGGGUGAUCGGCCACACUGGGACUGAGACACGGCCCAGACUCCUACGGGAGGCAGCAGUAGGGAAUCUUCCGCAAUGGACGAAAGUCUGACGGAGCAACGCCGCGUGAGUGAUGAAGGUUUUCGGAUCGUAAAACUCUGUUGUUAGGGAAGAACAAGUACCGUUCGAAUAGGGCGGUACCUUGACGGUACCUAACCAGAAAGCCACGGCUAACUACGUGCCAGCAGCCGCGGUAAUACGUAGGUGGCAAGCGUUGUCCGGAAUUAUUGGGCGUAAAGCGCGCGCAGGCGGUUUCUUAAGUCUGAUGUGAAAGCCCCCGGCUCAACCGGGGAGGGUCAUUGGAAACUGGGGAACUUGAGUGCAGAAGAGGAGAGUGGAAUUCCACGUGUAGCGGUGAAAUGCGUAGAGAUGUGGAGGAACACCAGUGGCGAAGGCGACUCUCUGGUCUGUAACUGACGCUGAGGCGCGAAAGCGUGGGGAGCGAACAGGAUUAGAUACCCUGGUAGUCCACGCCGUAAACGAUGAGUGCUAAGUGUUA